GGAAAAGGGAAGAUGGGGUUAAAAGAAAAUGAAAUGUAGAACAAGUUACAAGAUGGUACAAAUUCCUCCAGAUGAGGAGUGGACUUGGGGAUUUUGUCUGCCCUUUCCUCUACAAUUCAGCUAUAGCAGUCUCACAAACAUGAUCCGAGGGAGUAUGCGUCAAAUCCAAACUCUCCAUCCAUUAGCAUUGUUUCAUUUUGCUCCCGUUUUA
rnacentral:misc_RNA from 1 species